GAAGGAUGUGUUUGCUUCUCCUUCCGCCAUGACUGUAAGUUUCCUGAGGCCUCCCCAACCAUACUCAACUGCUGUUCUGACUCAUGAUCAAGCCUGAGACAGAGUGAUGGGCUGGCUUCCCAAAAGGUGUUUAUGAAUCGAAAAUGUGAGAGAGAAGGUAAGAUGAAGUCACAGUCUAGUCAUUGCCUCAACACCAGUCAUGCCUACUCCCACCCAGACAUCAUCAUCUCCUCCAAGCCCAAAAUGCUUCCCGCUAUGCCUUUGAGGCUGAGGUCUGGGAAGAAGACUCUAAGAAGAGAGAAAAGGGCACCAGUAUGGAGACCCUAGAAUAUAAAAAAGCAGACUUAGCCUGUCUAACCUGUUCCUUGAUGUGGCCAUGAUCCCAGGAAUGGAGGAAGAAUCUUCCUUUUCAUCCUCCUCCUAGAAAGGCAUCAGAGCAUGGGCCCUGGCUCCGUUACAUGGGCUUCCUGGCUGGGGAAGUUACUUACCUACUCCGUGUCUCAGUUUUACUUAUCUCUAAAAGGGGUAGAGUAACAGUACUCACUGGAGUGGAGCGUGGUUAUGCCUCCCAGACUCUCCUUCAGGACCAGGUUACUUAUUCAUCCAGCUGCAAGGAGUGUUAGCUGUGGACUGCUCACAAUGGAGUCUUUUCUAGGAAUUGCCCUCAACCGAAGGAAGCUGCAUUGCCCAAGAUGAGACGCCCUCGCUGGGUCGUCCUGCAUCCAAUGACAGGUUAGUGGGGCGUACGAAGGCCUGGUCUCCUCAUCUUGAUUGGAUAACUCCAAAGGACCAUCCCAGUUUCUGAUCUCCCUGUAGAAUCUCCUGAAGCCUCUAUUGUGACUGCAUCAGAGCCCGACUUCUCUCUCUACCCAAUCCAGGCUCCUUUCCUUCUCACAGGUGUUGUUCCCAAAACUCAAUAAACUGCCUACAUGCAAA